rnacentral:piRNA from 1 species
UGUGACUGACACGUCUCCUUCAGGCACGC